CCUACGGGAGGCAGCAGUGAGGAAUAUUGGUCAAUGGGCUUACGCCUGAACCAGCCAAGUCGCGUGAGGGAAGACUGCCCUAUGGGUUGUCAACCUCUUUUGUCAGGGAGCAACGCCGGCUACGUUUAGCCGGACUGAGAGUACCUGAAGAAAAAGCAUCGGCACACUCCGUGCCAGCAGCCGCGGUAAUACGGAGGAUGCGAGCGUUAUCCGGAUUUAGUGGGUUUAGGGGGUGCGUAGGCGGAAGGCAGAGUCAGCGGUAAAAGCGCGGGGCUAAACGGCGCUCCGCCAUUGAAACUGGCGUUCUUGAGUGGGCGAGAAGUAUGCGGAAUGCGUGGUGUAGCGGUGAAAUGCAUAGAUAUCACGCAGAACUCCGAUUGCGAAGGCAGCAUACCGGCGCCCAACUGACGCUGAAGCACGAAAGCGUGGGUAUCGAACAGGAUUAGAUACCCCAGUAGUC
rnacentral:rRNA from 1 species